rnacentral:rRNA from 1 species
CCGGCGCACGGGUGCGUAACGCGUAUGCAAUCUACCUUUUACAGAGGGAUAGCCCAGAGAAAUUUGGAUUAAUACCUCAUAGUAUGUGAGAAUCGCAUGGUUUUAACAUUAAAGUCACAACGGUAAAAGAUGAGCAUGCGUCCCAUUAGCUUGUUGGUAAGGUAACGGCUUACCAAGGCAACGAUGGGUAGGGGUCCUGAGAGGGAGAUCCCCCACACUGGUACUGAGACACGGACCAG